rnacentral:rRNA from 1 species
GGGUGUAGGCGGCCAUGUAAGUCAGAUGUGAAAUCCCUCGGCUUAACCGAGGAAGUGCAUCUGAAACUGCUUGGCUUGAGUAUGGUAGAGGAAGGCGGAAUUCCCGGUGUAGCGGUGACAUGCGUAGAUAUCGGGAGGAACACCUGUGGCGAAGGCGGCCUUCUGGCCCAAUACUGACGCUGAGACCCGAAAGCGUGGGGAGCAAACAGGAUUAGAUACCCUGGUAGUCCACGCCGUAAACGUUGGGUACUAGGUGUGGGAGGUUUAAUACCUUCUGUGCCGCAGCUAACGCAUUAAGUACCCCGCCUGGGGAGUACGGUCGCAAGAUUAAA